rnacentral:rRNA from 1 species
CCUACGGGUCGCUGCAGUGGGGAAUAUUGGACAAUGGGCGAAAGCCUGAUCCAGCCAUGCCGCGUGUGUGAAGAAGGCCUUCGGGUUGUAAAGCACUUUCAGUGGGGAAGAAAGCCUUGGGGCUAAUACCCUCGAGGAAGGACAUCACCCACAGAAGAAGCACCGGCUAACUCCGUGCCAGCAGCCGCGGUAAUACGGAGGGUGCGAGCGUUAAUCGGAAUUACUGGGCGUAAAGCGCGCGUAGGCGGUCUGAUAAGCCGGUUGUGAAAGCCCCGGGCUCAACCUGGGAACGGCAUCCGGAACUGUCAGGCUAGAGUGCAGGAGAGGAAGGUAGAAUUCCCGGUGUAGCGGUGAAAUGCGUAGAGAUCGGGAGGAAUACCAGUGGCGAAGGCGGCCUUCUGGACUGACACUGACGCUGAGGUGCGAAAGCGUGGGUAGCAAACAGGAUUAGAUACCCCGGUAGUC